AAAAAAACUUCUCUUCCCUAAUUACUUGGCGGCAGAGAGGAGCAGGAGCAGUUUGCUUGCAAUCGGCAGAGAGGAAGCGACGGAGAAGAAAUACUUGGUGGCAGAGAGGAAGCGGUAGAGAAAAACAAGGAUUAGUUUCCCUAAUUUCAGGCAUUAAGCACUAUGUCAACUAGUACAGAUAAUCCAUCGAAUGCAGAUAAUUCAGAACAAAAUUGUCCUAGUCUAUCUUCUUUAGCCCCACCCACGUCCGGGUCAGCAAAGACUAAAAUCCCAAAAGGUAAGAAGAAGAUUACAAUUGAAUAUGAUGGGGGAGUAGUAGGUGAAUACUCGAAACAAUGGAG